rnacentral:ncRNA from 1 species
CUGACACUCUAGAUGAUGAAAUUUAACUAUGAGUUUAAGGUAGAAUUGAAGAAAAUUUCAUGGAAAAUUUUCUUCUUCUGUUUUUUUCUCUCUUUUCCUCUCUUUCCUCUCUCGCUAGAAUUCUAACCUUGUGUCAGGACCUACGGGCCAAGGAAUAGUCUUAGGUAGACAGUUUCUAUGGGGUGUAAGCGGCCUCCCAAAAGGUAACGGAGGUGUGCAAAGGUUUCUCUGGGCUGGAUGGAGAUUGGCCUUCGAGUGCAAAGGUAGAAGGGAGCUUGACUGUAAGACCCACCCGCUGAGUAGGGACGAAAGUCGGCCUUAGUGAUCUGACGGUGCCGAGUGGAAGGGUCGUCGCUCAACGAAUACAAGUUACUCUAGGUAUAACAGGCUGAUCUUUCCCAAAAGCUCACAUCGACAGGAAGGUUUGGCACCUCGAUGUUGGCUCUUCGUCACUUGGGGCUGUAGUAUGUUCCAAGGGUUGGGCUAUUCGCCCAUUAAAACGGUACGUGAGCUAGGUUCAGAACGUCGUGAGACAGUUCGAUCCAUA